GCUGUUGUUCAUGUAGCAUAUCAUAAACAGGCUAACCUGCAGAGUGUCCGUUAACGUGGCUUCAGGACGGCGUUUUAGAGGAACAGUGAUGUUUGUGCUGCAGCACAGGUUCAGUUAUGAGUUAUGUUUGUGAUAUCAGCAGUGGAGCCGUCGGCUUUUUGGGACAGUUCAGCACCGUGGGGAGUUUUCAUGUCCUGCUGUGGAGUUUACUACAGCAGCACCUCUUCAGAAAGAGCCUCUCUGUGUUUCUGCAUCGCUCCAUCAAGUCUGACAGAACAGAGGACUCUGGUGAGAGAAGGAGAGGAGGCCUGUGCCUUAUGGUGAAUAAGGACUGUUGUGAGAUGCUGUCUUGUUCCUGCUCAACCUGCGCCAUAAGGGGAAUAAACACUCUGGAUCACUACUAUGGACCAUUCAGAGGCGGCUGGCCAUGUUUGAGGGAAGCGACCAUGUGGCCAUCUUGUUGAGAUCAAGCAACAACAAGCAUGGCUGUUCAUUACCGACUCCACGGUGGUUCCAAAAAGAGGAGCAG